AAAACGUAGUGAUCAGUCUUUGGCAACUCCUUUGUUGACAAGAAAUGUUUGACGAAAGAGUUCCCAAGUUGACAACAUACCGGACGGGAGCCAGAAAUAUCAACUUAACAUUAAUACGCACAUACGAGCGGCAACCAUUUUGAAAUAUAAAUCCAACUGCAUUGAUUCGUGUGUCAAAUAAUAACAAAUUUAUAACGUUGAGAUUUUCUUUUCCUUUAUAUUAUUGUGCGUGUCCAGACUGUUUUAAUAUAGUAAAAAUGGUUGGCAAAAGCCGAUAUUGUGAGAUAUGCGGCGUGAGAGAAAUUUUCAGAGAAGGCUUCUUUGCCAAAUUUCCCAAGGAUAAACUGCGGUAAGUCAACCAGUUCCUAAUUACAACUAGGGAAUAAAUCAAAUUACUUUAUUAAACAUUUUGAUUUGUUAGUCGCGUAAGCUGAAGGCGGUUCGAAUCCGCCACUCCGUAAUGCCGUAAGGGAUUCAUAUACUUAGGAGCAGCAAGCACGGACUGCUCGCCCUUAGAGUUGGUUAAAGACUUUUCAGUCGUAACUAAUUGUUUUUUGCUAUGUUUGCUAACAGUAAAUCUCUUCCAGUUGUUAUAAUGGAUAUAUAUAGUUUUAGGAAAUAAUAGGUUCCAAUAUCAUUAUCUCUUUAAACUCUAUUUCUGUUAGUACACUAUCUUUUAUUACUUACCUACUACAAAAGCUUUGAUGUAAUUCACUGUAAUUUUUGGUGGCUAUAUCUGAAGUACUUAUUGAACCCAUUUGGGUUCUAAUCAAUUUAAAAUACUAUCUUCGUCUUAUGUUUGUAAUAAUUGUACUACAUAUUAACUUCUUAUGCAUCUUUGUACCUCUCAAUAGUGUGUCAGUAUAUUAUUUGCUCACAGGUGUAUAACUUGGCUUAGACAAGUUGGAAAAGAAGAUCUCAUUCACGUACCCAUUGAAAAAUUGCAUGAGCUUCGUCAUGUUUGUGGUGACCACUUUGACCGGAGAGACUUUGGGAAGACAGGAAAUAAGCUUAAAAAAAGAGCCUAUCCAAAGUUAAAUCUUUCUGCACCUCCACUGUCAGAACAUCAAUUAACAGGAUUUCCUCAACAUGUUGCAAGUAGACAAGGUGCACACCAGAGCCAUGCACUUUUACAUGCCAGGAUACCUCUCUCGACAUCUAGCACUGAAAAUGGUGCACACCAGAGCCAUGCACCUUUACAUGCCAGGAUACCUCUCUCGACAUCGAGCACUGAAAAUGCUUUGGUACCAGCGAGACGCGGAUCUAGUGAUACUCUAGUUCUUACUCUAGCACCACCUAUAUUCUGUCAACUCCAUCUUGUGAGAGGGACGAGAUCGCGGCGACGACGUCGCGGAGCUCGUGCCCCUCAGUGUCCUGCAGGAGGACACUGGCUUCUAUGAGUACAUGUUUAAAAGUAAUUGCCUACGAAAGGAGUGCCUAGCGUCCGUUGGCUCGUUGGGUGGACGACAUUCGGAAGACUGCGGGUCACUUCUGGAUGAGACUGGCUCGGGACCGGGAUAAGUGGCGUACUAGAAGAGAGGCCUAUGCUCAGCAGUGGGCGAUAAAAGGCUGAUAUGAUGAUGAUGAUGAAUUGUAUUAAAUCAUUGGUGAAAAGCAAAUUAAAAACUUGCUAAAAAUAGCAAAGUUUAGUAAGAACAAAGACCUGAAGGAAACUUCGCAAGCUGAGAUUAGAGAGAAGUGUUUAAGAUUAUAUGGAAACUUUGGUACCAGCGAAACGCUCCCCGUCUUGCUGACAACCUGGAUCUAGUGAUACUCUAGUUCUUACUUCUGAUAAUCGAAAAACGAAGCAAGCAAAUCACAAGACUGAUGAUUACAAUACAACGAAGAAAGCAUUGCUGAAGAAGCUCAAGAAAGUGAAAACGAGUUUACUUUAUAAGUUUUUGCCUAAUAAGUAGGACUUUAACUAGACAAAUUGAUUUUUAUAAAUCCAUCUUUACAACAUGGUAUCUAUGCUUACCAUAAGGUGUACAGAUGAAGUAGGAUGAGUGAUUUAGUAAGCCUAAUAAAAAAGUAACCCAGAACUGCCAUAACUAAUUAAUUACUAAUUACUUAGAAGUUAGAAUACAGAUUCAGGAUCAUUUAUAUCUUGUUGAAAAUUAAUAUAUUUUAUAUCUGGGAGACCGAGUUUUGAUCGGAACAGUGUUGGCCGAAAGUUAAUUGCAAUUAACCAUUGUUGGCUCGGAAAACAUAAAAACAAAAAAAAAUGCACGUUCUCCCAGAGAUAAGACCUUGCUAGAACAAUUUUUCCCCUUGUUCCUCGUACAUAACCCAGUUACAUUACCAGCAAUGUACAAGGAAAAAUGAUUCCUCGCACAAAACCGGGUAAUGUAUUAAGAAAUAUUUUUGCUUUGUACAUUACCGUUAACAUUUCCAGUUUUGUACGAGGAUG